GGCCCUAUAGCUCAGGGGACAGAGCGAGAGUUUCCUAAACUCUGCGUCGCAGGUUCGAGUCCUGCUAGGGCCACCA
rnacentral:tRNA from 1 species